AUUGAACGCUGGCGGCAUGCCUUACACAUGCAAGUCGAACGGCAGCACGGGAGCAAUCCUGGUGGCGAGUGGCGAACGGGUGAGUAAUAUAUCGGAACGUGCCCAGUCGUGGGGAUAACGUAGCGAAAGCUACGCUAAUACCGCAUACGAUCUACGGAUGAAAGCGGGGGAUCGGCAAGACCUCGCGCGAUUGGAGCGGCCGAUAUCAGAUUAGGUAGUUGGUGAGGUAAAGGCUCACCAAGCCGACGAUCUGUAGCUGGUCUGAGAGGACGACCAGCCACACUGGACUGAGACACGGCCCAGACUCCUACGGAGCAGCAGUGGGAAUUUUGGACAAUGGCGCAAGCCUGAUCCAGCAAUGCCGCGUGCAGGAUGAAGGCCU
rnacentral:rRNA from 1 species